rnacentral:rRNA from 1 species
UACAGAGGUCUCGAGCGUUGUUCGGAUUCAUUGGGCGUAAAGGGCGCGUAGGCGGCGGGGUAAGUCUGGUGUGAAAUCUCGGAGCUCAACUCCGAAAUUGCACUGGAUACUGCUCUGCUAGAGGGCUGGAGAGGAGAUCGGAAUUCACGGUGUAGCAGUGAAAUGCGUAGAGAUGUGGAGGAACACCAGUGGCGAAGGCGACUCUUUGGUCUGUAACUGACGCUGAGGCGCGAAAGCGUGGGGAGCAAACAGG